UGUCAGCUGCCUGAGAAGUUGUGAGAAGCUGAGAGAUGGAUGAAGGGAGGAGUUCUAUUCUCUCCUUUAAUAACAAAGUCCCGCCUUGCAAGUUUUUGAGCGGCUCCUUUCCUAUUCAGAGCAUCCCCAGCCAAACUAAUGCCCUCUCCUACCCUGACGUCAAAGAACAGAUCACAGGCAAGAUUAGGGUUUUUCAUUUCUCUUAUUGCAGCAAUUAGCCUGGGACUGUAUAAAAGGGCUACAGAAAGGGGAGGGAGCCAGAGGGGAAACCUGGGGACAAUAAGAGAUAGCUGAGAGACACAGGCGGAGAGGCAGAGGGAGCCAGAGGUAGUAUGGGGAGAAAGCGCCUUUUACAUUCUUCCAGCUAAAAAAAAAAAUCCACCUGGUUCUUCAAACUUCAGAAACUUUUUUCUUUCGAUAAUUCCCAAGCAAUGAGAGGAAGCAGCUGAAGCUGAGCAGCCGCUGCCUGGCGCUCCCCUGUAAGUACAGCCGUAGUGCAGACACCUGUUUAGCACAGUCCAACUUCCCAGUGCAAACAUUUCAUUCAUAGUAAAAGGCAUCAAUUAAAAGCUCAUCAGUCCCGGCUCCUGCCCCCUCUGCACGGCUGAAUGAAGAAGGCAGAUAGAAAGGGGCAUCUUUAAGGGCAGAGCCAUGGGUCUGCUGAGUGUGGACCUGCUGAUCACCCUGCAGAUCCUGCCUGGGUUCGUGUCUAACUGCCUCUUCUUGGCUCUCUACGACUCUGUUGUGUUGGUAAAACACGUGCUCCUGCAACUGAACCGCUCCAAAUCCAACCAGAGUCAAUGGCGUCGGAUGCUCACCCCAGAAGGUCUGCGCUGCGUCUGGAACAGCUUCCUAUUGGAUGCCUACAAGCAGGUAAAAUUAGGCGGAGAUGCACCAAACUCCAAUGUUAUCCAUGUGUCCAGCAAGAAAACAAGUAGCACGCCAGCAAAACUUGAGACGCCAUGUAACCUUCUUGACUUUGCCAGCUCCGAGCGCCCUCUGGUUGUCAAUUUUGGUUCAGCCACCUGACCCCCCUUUAUAAGCCAGCUGCCAGCCUUCAGCAAGCUGGUGGAGGAGUUCUCCAAUGUAGCCGACUUCCUCUUGGUCUACAUUGAUGAGGCUCAUCCCUCAGAUGGCUGGGCUGCUGCUCCUGGUGUGGGUUCAUAUGAAGUAAAAAAACACAGAAACCAAGAAGAUCGAUGUGCUGCAGCUAACAAACUCAUGGAAGAAUACUCCCUCCCCCAACAGUGCCAGGUGGUGGCAGACUGCAUGGACAAUAAUGCCAACGUAGCCUACGGUGUCUCCUUCGAAAGGGUAUGCAUUGUACAAAGGCAAAAAAUUGUAUACCUCGGAGGUAAAGGACCUUUCUUCUAUAAACUCCAAGAAGUGAGGCGGUGGCUGGAGCAGACAUUUGGAAACAGAGGCUGAAUGGAUACAAGGACCCGGCUGGGCCUGGAGAAACCACUCCUAAGGACGAGCAAGCGUAUCAUCCUCGUGGAACACUUGUUGACACUAUAAUACAGACUUUCGAAAUGAACCCAUGAAAACAACCACACUACAAAAAGUCACAAUCCAGAUGCCUGAUCUUAUCCUCAGCGUGACCCGAAUCUCUGGCAGACCUCAAACCGCUGUUCCCUCUUGCUCUACAACAAUACACAACAGUAUAGGCAGAACAUAGGAAGAUGAGGGUGUGGUGAAAAGCAAGAAGGGAAAGUCAGAAAUCAAACAAAGCCCACAUCUGACAGCUGCUGUAGAGCCGGCUUGCUCUUCCAUGUUCCUGGGAAAAUUUUGCAAAGAAAUGUCGUCAGGGAAGACUAGGGAGAAGCAGCACAGCACCUCCAGUCGAGUAUUUAUUACCGAGAUUCCAGUGUUUCACUCGGCAGGUGUAGCUCAUUUUAGUUUUUUUUUCUUCUUUUCUUAACAUAAUUUAUUGCAUUAUCAUGAGUCGGCAGUAUCCACAAAUGACACAGUUACCUCAACGAGGGGACAGCUGCAUGGAAACUGAUGUAAUCUGCACCUUCCAUACUGUUGGUUCUUCAUUUUAUCUUGGAGGAGGGUGUGGAACCUGUAGGCACAGAAGCAUAAAUAUGCCUCCCAUGUGCUCUGAUCCCCACAAGAUGACAUUUCCAGCACCAAUUAGGCACCAGCUUUAGGCAAGGUUUUGACAGGUGACAUGGAGAAUGAAGACUAACACUUCACUAAUGGCCUGCGUCUGGUCCUGCGGGCUCACACCGCACAUGGGGCUCCGAGGACCUCAAAGGCCUGGCUCACACAUCAGACCAAAACACACUACAUUCUGUCACAUCCUGAAACAACACCCAUCGCCACCUUGUCAUGCUUCCUUUACAGGGUCAUUGAAACUCCACAGUAACGGAGCCGCAGAGCUGCUGCAUUGAGGGAUUUCUCCAGUCCCCUAAUUCAUUAUUUUUACCUGCCCAGUGUACCCAGACGCCACAUAUUCUGCUGCUUUUCAUGCCAUCACUGCAUCCCAGCAGAACUACCGGUUUCCAUCAUACUUUGCUGUGUAAGCGUCAGAGGACUUGCUCCACCUAUCUACAAGGCAGCGGGAGGUGCAGAGGGAACAUUGUGGCAGGUGAACCCAGUACAGAGCAGAGCAUGCUGGGAGUUCUGCAUGUAAACAUCCUGCCAGGAUGGAGUGAUGGCGAGAACAGGGGAAGGACAAUAUGCAGCGUCUCCGAGAGAAAAAAUAUUCUGGGACUGGAGAACUUCUAUACGCACAUUUUGAAAGUUUUUCUGUUUUACGUUUUGUUAUCAUAGCUGGAUGUGGCACCAUUGUGUAUGCAAGUGAUACUGGUCUCAUGGAGCUGGAGGUAGGAAUGUAAUAUCACACUUCUCCAGCCACUCCUUGCAUAUUUGCUGGGUUGUGGCCAAAUCUCCACCGGUCCCCAUUAUAGUGAAUGGGGCUGGAAGGAACCUUGGCAGCACGCGGUAACGCCCAGUAUUCACGGAUCCGGAUGAGGAACAGCCUGCAGGAUCUGCUUAACACAAAUGUGAAACAAGCCUUAAAGAGACUACAGGCAGUUACUAUUAUCCAAAUCCUGCAGUGAAUAGGGAGGCAUUCACACAAGGUAGAUUUUCUUCUGAAAAUAACUUCCUUUCAUCUGGAUGGGGUUGCUUUGGCGGGAAGCCCAUGGAUUUCUACAAGCCCCAUUCAGGUGAAGGGACCACCGUGUGUGAAGACGUCCUAAUAGGUCCUGCAAGAAGAUGGCCCGAUACUGGACCAUCACAGAACAGAGUGGGGCUUCACUAGUACGAAGAACAAGCGGAUAUAUCUUACCCAUAGGAACCGCGGCUCACAGGGAGGCUGUACCACUAAUUAUAAAUCACAUACUAAGAAAUAAGCUGAUGCCGAUAUACUAAGGCAUUUCAAACGCCAAUCUUCGUAUAAAGUUUGUCGGUGAAGAAUGCGCCAAAAAUGUAAUGGCAUAAAUGAUAGUAAACACGUCGGGCCCCAGGAGGCCACACCCCCUCCCGCUAAGCCCAGAACGCACCAUAAUUUAUGACAGUGGGGUAAACACCUGGAUAAAUGCCCCUCAGUAGGGUGUAUGUUAAUAUUUGGUGGCAUCUAUUUAGGGAUAUUAUGGGCGUCUAUUAGCGGGGUGUUUCUACAUAGAGUCCAACAGGGGGAAUUCUACACAAGGAAGAGGGGACAUAUAUUGGAUGUACUUUGCCUUUAAGGUGGUUGGAUGCAGUCACUUUUUUAUAUAUUUAGCUGUAAUAACAGGAUGAGCAGUAAAUAUAUACCAAACGCUCAUGUGUCAUCCAAUUCUACACUCAAUUAUAUUGCGGUAGACAAGAAAAAUGUUCUAAAACCAGAAAGAUCUUCAAUAGGAAUUAGAUGGAAAUGACACAAGACCUCUGCAGACCCCCAUUAUUGUAAAGCUGCUCCUGGGUGACAGAGGGGCACAGGACUUAAACUGAAGAAGAAGGAUAAGAAGGGUAUGUGAGGGCAUGCCUCCUGGCCAUAACCUCAGUAAAUCUGUGUAAGGGGAGCCCGAUCAAGGCGUGGAGGGCACAGUAACCCCCACAAGCCAUUCAGAUAAUAUUAAAUCCUUCUAGUUUGAGAGCAUCAUCAUGAAUACCUCAUCAAUGCAUGCAAGAGAAGAGGUGUGGAUAGAAGACGGUGACCCGAGUGCGGUGGGUCACAGAAGGGAUGACCUGCCAGCUCCGCAGCCCUGCACCUCCAUGCUGUGCAUUGCUCUCCCCAUGUUUGCAGAUAAUUGGCAGACAAAGGGUUCUGCCUCCUUCCAGACAGAAUAUGAAGGUGUGAAUGUAAUGUAGGACUGAUCGCCUCACGCUGCCUCAUUCUAUGAUGUGACUGCUGCAGAUCGUGCAUUUACUGUACAUGAACCUCAGUGCAUACGGUUUCCAUCCAGGGAUAUAGCACUUGUGCCUUCUUGCAUGCCGCCUGGUGAUACACGCCAUUGCUUACAUGCUGUACUAUAUAUAUUGUAUUGAUAUUCUGUUGUACUGUAGCAUAACGACAUGUCGGCUCCUGAUUGACGCUUCCUCUAAUGUUUCCCAUCACACCAGGGAUUUCAUUCCACACCUGUGGUCACCGGCCAGCAUGUGGCAAAUAUGAAAACCUGUUUUAUAUGUGCAGGACUGGUGGGAAACAAUUCUCUUUUGUGCCUGGAAUCAAAGGGCAUGUUCACAUGGAUGUAUUUUCUUACUUACAUUUUUAUACAACUUUUAGAUGUCACUUGAACCUUUUAUGCUGUGAUCACCAAAAGUGUCUUGAUAUUUGGCAACCAGUGAGGUCAGUGCCACGUCACUGCUCAUUUCUUCUCCUUAUGUUGAUGUUUUUCUAUUUGACAUAUGUGUAUUUUAUAUCUUUUUUUAUAAUUAUCCAAUUUCAUUAUUUCGCUCUGUGCAGUACCACAUAAUCUUGUUUCAUAUAAUGCACCAGCAAGUGGCCACUGGCACACGGCUCUGUGCCCUGCAUGGAUCUCAUCCUGUGCCAGCCUACAUGUUACCCAUCAACAUACACAGGGAAAUAGACCAUGAGUGACAAGCCAAAGGUGACCUGCGAGGUGACACAGGAACACCAGGCAAUGGAUCCUGCUGGCUAGAGAGGCUAUGAUGUGGGUAUGAAGGGAACCAUUGAAAGAGACAAGCUCUCUGUUGGUGCCUGGAUGGAGUCACAUCAUUGCUGACCUGGCAGGUGUUUUUGUCCUCCCCUUCAGACCCGGUGGCUUCUUGACUCAUGUUCUCCACAACUAAAGACUACCAGAACCCAAACGCUUCACAAUAUGGUGCUUCAGUUAGCCAAUGUUUUACUUGUAUUUUAAUAAAAUAAAAUAAAAUUUAAAAAAGAAAAGUCCAUGAGUCGUUUAAUUUGAUGCACACAUUUUCCUC